rnacentral:rRNA from 1 species
UAAGGAAUAUUGGUCAAUGGAGGCAACUCUGAACCAGCCAUGCCGCGUGAAGGAUUAAGGCCCUCUGGGUUGUAAACUUCUUUUAUAUGGGAAGAAAUGUACUUUUUCUAAAGUGCUUGACGGUACCAUAGGAAUAAGCACCGGCUAACUCCGUGCCAGCAGCCGCGGUAAUACGGAGGGUGCAAGCGUUAUCCGGAUUUACUGGGUUUAAAGGGUGCGUAGGCGGAUGAAUAAGUCAGUGGUGAAAUCAACGGGCUCAACCUGUUAACUGCCAUUGAUACUGUGUAUCUUGAAUAUGAGAGAGGUAGGCGGAAUGUUGCAUGUAGCGGUGAAAUGCUUAGAUAUGCUACGGAACACCGAUUGCGAAGGCAGCUUACUAUUUCGUAAUUGACGCUGAGGCACGAAAGCGUGGGUAGCGAACA